GGCCUAACACAUGCAAGUCGAGGGGCAUCACGAGGUAGCAAUACUUUGGUGGCGACCGGCGCACGGGUGCGUAACGCGUAUGUAACCUACCUAUAACAGGGGCAUAACACUGAGAAAUUGGUACUAAUUCCCCAUAAUAUUCGGAGAGGCAUCUCUCCGGGUUGAAAACUCCGGUGGUUAUAGAUGGACAUGCGUUGUAUUAGCUAGUUGGUGAGGUAACGGCUCACCAAGGCAACGAUACAUAGGGGGACUGAGAGGUUAACCCCCCACACUGGUACUGAGACACGGACCAGACUCCUACGGGAGGCAGCAGUGAGGAAUAUUGGUCAAUGGACGCAAGUCUGAACCAGCCAUGCCGCGUGCAGGAAGACGGCUCUAUGAGUUGUAAACUGCUUUUGUACGAGGGUAAACUCACCUACGUGUAGGUGACUGAAAGUAUCGUACGAAUAAGGAUCGGCUAACUCCGUGCCAGCAGCCGCGGUAAUACGGAGGAUUCAAGCGUUAUCCGGAUUUAUUGGGUUUAAAGGGUGCGUAGGCGGUUUGAUAAGUUAGAGGUGAAAUCCCGGGGCUUAACUCCGGAACUGCCUCUAAUACUGUUAGACUAGAGAGUAGUUGCGGUAGGCGGAAUGUAUGGUGUAGCGGUGAAAUGCUUAGAGAUCAUACAGAACACCGAUUGCGAAGGCAGCUUACCAAACUAUAUCUGACGUUGAGGCACGAAAGCGUGGGGAGCAAACAGG
rnacentral:rRNA from 1 species